GCUCAUUUAUUGGUUUUCUUUUUCUUGCAACCAAGUGAUCAUACCCAAUUUUAUGCUGUAGUUGAUAUUGCACAUGGUAAUUGGAUUCUAGGAGAUUUCUGGGAAAGAAGUUCUGGGACCAUAGAAUUACUGUUUAAAGUCCCAAUCUAAUUUUCAUGGCCUAACAUGAUGUGGUGAUGUUGGAAAGGAUGUUUGAUUCUAAAACUAAGAAGGCAUGCUGGAUCUAUAAAUCUGUCUUUCCUCAGUUUCAUUGGAAACAUCUUACAUAAUGAAAAAUGUUGCAGAUGAGUGUGUGUCAGUGAUUUUCUGAAGGUCAUGAAUUUGAGAAACCAAACGAUGGCCAAGCUUUAAACCUUAUGAAUUCAUGUGCAGUGGCAGUGCUUGAAGAGUUUCAGGAUAUAGUCUUUUCAUAUGGUGUUAGUGACGAGUACAGCUUUGUUUUGAAGAAGGAUUCUCAACUCUGUCAGAGGCAUGCCAGGUUGAGACUGGAGGCAAUCCAGGUGUCCUCUUCAAGACGCACCCUAACAUCAACAAAGAGCCGUUUUCCAAUGGAUUGUAUUUUUUUCAUAAAAGAAUUUUUCCC